rnacentral:rRNA from 1 species
AGUGAACGCUGGCGGUAGGCCUAACACAUGCAAGUCGAACGGCAGCACAGUAAGAGCUUGCUCUUACGGGUGGCGAGUGGCGGACGAGUGAGGAAUACAUCGGAAUCUACUUUUUCGUGGGGGAUAACGUAGGGAAACUUACGCUAAUACCGCAUACGACCUACGGGUGAAAGCAGGGGAUCUUCGGACCUUGCGCGAUUGAAUGAGCCGAUGUCGGAUUAGCUAGUUGGCGGGGUAAAGGCCCACCAAGGCGACGAUCCGUAGCUGGUCUGAGAGGGUGAUCAGCCACACUGGAACUGAGACACGGUCCAGACUCCGACGGGAGGAAGCAGUGGGGAAUAUUGGACAAUGGGCGCAAGCCUGAUCCAGCCAUACCGCGUGGGUGAAGAAGGCCUUCGGGUUGUAAAGCCCUUUUGUUGGGAAAGAAAAGCAGCAGGUUAAUACCCCGCUGUUCUGACGGUACCCAAAGAAUAAGCACCGGCUAACUUCGUG